rnacentral:rRNA from 1 species
UACGGAGGGUGCAAGCGUUAAUCGGAAUUACUGGGCGUAAAGCGUGCGCAGGCGGUUUGUUAAGUCUGUUGUGAAAUCCCCGAGCUCAACUUGGGAAUUGCAAUGGAUACUGGCAGGCUGGAGUAUGGUAGAGGAAGGUGGAAUUCCCGGUGUAGCAGUGAAAUGCGUAGAGAUCGGGAGGAACACCAGUGGCGAAGGCGGCCUUCUGGACCAAUACUGACGCUCAAGCACGAAAGCGUGGGGAGCAAACAGG